rnacentral:rRNA from 1 species
AUGCUACCGCGCUGCUGCUGGUCUCGCAGUCCGGGCGGGACCAUCUUCAUCAUCUCCGCCGCGGCGUCGCACCGUCUCUCCGGUAGCGCUCGGGGGCUCGACUUCGACCCGCCCCCAGAGCGGCCGCGCGGGACGGCGCGUCCUCGCCGCCUUCAUCAUCACCACCGUUGUGACGCCGGCUGCCGGUCCGCGCGCGCCACGCGCGGGGCCUCGCUUCGUCGGCUGCGUCCGUCCACGCGCCGCUCGCGUCAACUCCCCUCCAUGCUGCGCCUUGCUCUGGCUGAAACACGUCAUUCGCCACUCCAUAUGCCAUCUAUGCAAGAUAGCUAG